rnacentral:rRNA from 1 species
AGUGAACGCUGGCGGUGGGCCUAACACAUGCAAGUCGAACGGCAGCACAGUAAGAGCUUGCUCUUACGGGUGGCGAGUGGCGGACGGGUGAGGAAUACAUCGGAAUCUACUUUUUCGUGGGGGAUAACGUAGGGAAACUUACGCUAAUACCGCAUACGACCUACGGGUGAAAGCAGGGGAUCUUCGGACCUUGCGCGAUUGAAUGAGCCGAUGUCGGAUUAGCUAGUUGGCGGGGUAAAGGCCCACCAAGGCGACGAUCCGUAGCUGGUAUGAGAGGAUGAUCAGCCACACUGGAACUGAGACACGGUCCAGACUCCUACGGGAGGCAGCAGUGGGGAAUAUUGGACAAUGGGCGCAAGCCUGAUCCAGCCAUACCGCGUGGGUGAAGAAGGCCUUCGGGUUGUAAAGCCCUUUUGUUGGGAAAGAAAAGCAGCAGGUUAAUACCCCGCUGUUCUGACGGUACCCAAAGAAUAAGCACCGGCUAACUUCGUG